rnacentral:snoRNA from 1 species
CCAAGUGAUGAACAAACCGACACCUUAGGGAUUCCUCAUGCUUAAUACAUGAUGUGGAUAACGUUGUUAUAAGUUUCAGCCUUGUCUGAUU